UUAUUUUGGCUACGUGGACAUGGCAUGUUCAAUCCAAGUGUCUUAUGCUUUAACAGACCAGAACACGAGUCACACACGUCACUUUCUUGUUGUUUCAAUUCAACCAAAGAAGCCUCCAACUCUCUACAUCGAGAAUUCUCUUCCAAAUCUGUCUUUUGGAUUUCUAUACAUGUGGAUUUACCGUGAAUCUUCCUUCAAGUCAGUGGUUUCACUUGGGUUUCUAUACAAGUGGGUCUUCUUCUUGCCAUUGUUUAUUUUUUCUAUUUCUUUUCUAUAUGUACCUCAAUCUUUUUUCUUUUCAAUUUUCAAAUUACUAUUUGAUUUUGAUUUCAAAUGCCUAUUGCUCUUUCUUGGUGUUGCACUCCGAUUAUGCUGGGUAAUGCCGGAUUGUUACUUAAUGAUUCCCACAGUAUCGAAGUAUAUUCAUAGGCUUUCAACUUGCUCGACACUAUAGGUUUCUCCGGCAAAUUCCUGUUAAAGUCAAGUUGGGAGUUUGCUCCCGCACAAUUCUCAAUUCCCAAAAAAUAGCCAAUUUAUAUGCUGCCUUUGUGUUGUUUCUUGAUGAAAGAGAACUCAUAAGAGUGAGAGGAAGAGAAGAUAAGUAGCACUUGGAACAAAAAAAAAGUAAGGUACUUUUUGCCAAAAGCUACUAAGAAGCAGCAAGAAUGUAAAAUACAGGACAGAAAAUGCACCACCGUCUCCAUGAUGUAGAUAGUAUAGCGUGUAAAUAGUUUUUCCAUAUAUGAUGUAAAUAAUGCAGCCAUAAACAAUGCAACACUUCCAAUCAUAAUAUCCAUGAAUGGAUACUUCAACUUAAAAGUGUCA